ensembl:lncRNA
UUCAGGAAUGCGUUAACCUUCUAUCCCUAAUUGAAUUCAUAACUUAUUUUUUAAAUAGACUCGAGUUUGAGAGAACGAGAGCUUUAUCGCUGUAUGAGUUUUGGAGGCAGGGAAACUAUAGGGAGAGGAGAGCGGCUACCAGAAGGAAACCUAGAUGUGUGCGAUUAUGUUUUAAAGGGAGGGGCUUGGGACUUUUUUCAUCAUUGCAUUACAGUGAGGAACCAGCAGAAUUACACACUCCCCUCACUGGCCUCUGUGGUUGUCUGAGACAUCGACUGAAGAGUACAACUUAACUUUUCUCCCCGUAUCAAGAUCCGCAGGCCACCGGUGAGCAUUCCACGAGAUCCCUCCUCCACCUCCUCUCAUCCUCUCGUUUUAAAAGUCGCUCCAAAGGGCUGGCAACCCAGACACCGGCCCCAGUGCCAGAGACCGGCUGUCUCGACAGGGUGUAAAGCAUGGAGGACAUGGACUUCGAGAGGCGCCGGGAGCUCAGACGGCAGAAGCGUGAGGAGAUGCGCCUGGAAGCUGAACGAUAGGGCCUGUCUGUCUGUCUGUCUGUCUGUCUGUCUGUCUGUCUGUCUGUCUGUCUGUCUGUCUGUCUGUCUGUCUGUCUCUGUCUGUCUGUCUGUCUCUGUCUCUCUGUCUCUCUCUCUCUCUCUCUCUCUCUCUCUCUCUCUCUCUCUCUCUCUCUCUCUCUCUCUCUCUCUCUGCCUGUCUGCCUCCCUUUGUCUGUCUGCCUCCCUUUGUCUGUCUGUCUGUCUGCCUCUCUUUGUCUCUCUGUCUGUCUGUCUGUCUGCAUAAGUUUGUCCAUUUUUAAAUUUUCAUUCAUUUUCUUGACUGACUCUCUGCCUGUCUAUAGACAAACAACAGCUAAUACACUUCAAUAAUACAUACAUCUUCC